CUGCAUUCAUCACAAAGAAAUAAAAUACCUUGUUUUUUUGUGUUUUUUUUUUUUUUUCAUAAAAAUUGUCAUGAUUUAGAAAUUAAAGGCUAUUUACUACCCUAAUUUUAGCCCUCUGAUUUGAAUGCUCUGUUGGAAGGGGUAUGCUGUGAGACUUUAAUGUAAACUAAUGUAAACAAAGAUUGGCUAACAUCUUUGCAUAUGAAAUGAGUAGGCUAUUACAUGUGGAACUCAUUUGAAACUUAUUACUAUGUUUUUACCAUUACAGCUGUCGAGAUUAACUAAUUGUGAAAAGUGUUAAUUAUAGCAUUAUAUUUAUAUCUACUCCCGUCACAUGAAAAUAUGAGCAUUGUAGCCAGUGACAGACAUGUCUGUUGAGCGCAUGAAUGCCACACAAUUUCUGCACUCUCACGAAUACUUUCAUCAUAACGGUUCAUACGUGGUGGAAAUAAGAGAUUCAUUGUGCAGUGUAGACAGUGUCAUUGAUUGUAACAGGAGUUUUGUCCAGAGUCCAGAACUAAUAAACUCGCACUGUGUGAUUGACAGCUCCAGCGAUUAUACUGUAAAGGGAGGCUUCUUUGAUCGCUUUCUGGACAUGAUUUAAUCAAUUUAAAUAAUAGAUUAUUUUCAGACCACUAAGAGAAACAAUAUGAAGUUGACCGUUUAGUCACUAGCUUGAUUUACUGAUGCAUAAACAGCAAUAAAUUAUUUUGAGACCGAGGAUGUCUGACUGUACAUGAAUCAUUACAUAUCAGAAAUCACUGAUCACAAAUUAGGCAUUAGAAUUAACACGGUUACUUACAUGUUGUGGCAUUACUGUUGGGUCAGUAAAAGUCUGUUUGCAAAGCCUAUGAAGAAUUGCGACUGAUUUACCAAAGAAUUCACAGUGAAAUGUACCGAACAAACAAAUAAUGCUCUACUGAGACAUUUUGUGAUUUUCAGUCCAGUGGCCCUGUAUCUAUACGCGAUGGUGUAGAAGUAGGCAUUGAUUUGAUUCUGUAGCGGCGGUCUUUCGUCGCACUAUUACAUAAUACUGAAGGAAAAUCUGAAAUGAGUCAUUUGGCAGCUUGGUUUCAAUAAAAGGUGUUUUUGGACUAAUGAGAAAGUUUUGAGUUCUCAAACUUCUCAAACAGGAUCAAGAAAAUUUGGUAACACUUUACAAAAUAAGGUUUAUUAGUUAACUACAUUAGUUAACAUGAACUAAAAAUGAACUGCACUUAUAAAGCAUUUAUUAAUCUAUGUUCAUGUUAAUUUCAACAUUUACUAAUACAUAAUUAAAAUCUUGUUAACAUUAGUUAAUGCACUGUGAACUAUCAUGAACAAACAAUGAACAACUGUAUUUUCAUGAACUAACGUUAACGAAGAUUAGUAAAUACAAAUGUAUUGCUCAUGGUUAGUUCAUGUUAGUUAAUACAUUAAUUCAUGUUUAACUAAUAAACCUUGUUGUAAAAUGUUACCGAAAAUUUUGAUUUCUCAAUUCAUGACUCUUUUAAAAAGUAUUUGAGAUGCUAUAUGAGAAUAAUUUCAUGAAUGAAUGUCCCUUGUGAAAAAGUGCACUUAAUUGAAUGUGCACUUGUAGUGUACUUCAAAUUUUAAAAGUAUAUUUAAAAAAAAUGUAUUUGCAGUUGAUAUUAAUGAAAUAAAAGACCACUUAAGUGUACUUAAAGAGAGUCAACUUUCAUGACAAUGUUUUUGAGGCGACUUAACGUUCCUUUGUUACUAGUUCUAAAGUGACAUUUUACAAUUAGUAACGGAGACUUGAGAUCAACUGUUAAACUGUCAACUUGAGAUUUGAAUCCAUGGCGGAAGGAAGUAGUUCUACACAAAAGAGGGUUUUUAAAGACUCUGUUGUUGUUUCUUAUUUAUUUACUCACUUGUGCUGUCAAACUGUUGUAUAAACACAAUAUCACACUCAUAGUCGUGCGAUAUGGCUGUAUAUCAGCAUGCUGUGAUCACAGCUGUAUAUAUUACUCUGUGUUAUUCGGUGGUUGGAUGCUACUUCACAACCGGAACUAACCUACUUUCAGAAAUUAAAGUGUUUAAAUUUCGAGACAUCACGAUGUGAUGCCUAGAUUGCAGCAGUGAAGCAAGAAGGCUGGAUACCAACUAGCAACUCUAGGAUAUGCAGCACAUAUUUUGAUUCUGGAAAGUCAUCAUAUGACUAUGAAAGUCCAGACUACAAAAAGGGUUUAACAAUGUUUUUCAUGCUUGAUCAAUGAACCAUAAACAAUUAUUGCACAUGUACCUGUGGAACAGUCCUUAAGACACUAACAGUUUACAGGCGGUAGAUAAUUAACGUCAGUUACAAUAACUUAGGACACAAAAGAGACCCUUCUACUGACUCUGAAAAACACCAGGAGAAAGAUGCCCAAUGUGGCAGGGAGGCAUGAGGACUUAAGAUGUGGCCAGAGCCCCCCCAAAAUAUAUAUAUGUGUGUGUGUGUGUUGUGUUGCAUGUCUGUAUGUGACUGUGUACUUGAAAACCAUAUAGGAACAUAUUUUGUAUAUGUUGUCAUUUAUCAGGUUUCUGUAAAUGUGUCCACCAUCAACGACCUAAGUGUAAUCUGUAUGUUUUAUUCUGAACUGCUCUUUGUCUGACCGGCUUGGAAAUAUCAAUGUCUUCCACUGGUUUUGGAUCAAUCUAAAACAAAAUGGCUUUGUACAUUUCCUAAUCUACAAGUAUCAACUUUUAUCUUUUAUCUCAUGCAAGGCACAGAUGUUACAGAUGGAGCAUUCAAACCCUUUUAUACACUAUUCCACAGCAACAAGGAUUGCAGCAACAUGGCUACAAACCUUACCUAACCUAAGCACACACAGUUUGAAACAUAUGAAAUAAGUAAUAAUGGCACUAACUGUAUGCUAUGUAGUUUACUAACAUACAGUUAGAAAUGUAAUUAUAUAAUUUACUUAUUUGCAUAGACACACAGCCAUGCAAGUGCAGUGUAAACUAAUAAUAACCUCCCCGAGCACCUUAGCGACAAACCAAGACGAAUAAGUUUUUGACACCAUUUGACUUGCUUCAGCUUCACCAAACACAAGACAAAUGUCAUCCACAUUGUACAAACAAAUGUUCCCAACCUUUCCUCUAAGAAAGUAAUUGUAUGCAUCAACCAGGUGAUUUUAGUCAUCUAGAUAAUUUUUCAUUUAUUUUCAAUUUUUGUAAAUACCUUAACUUUUCCGUUUGUGCUAGACUAAAAGAAUGCGCUUUGACAGAUCUGUGAUUUAAAAAUAGCACAACCGGAAAUGCUUCAGGACCAGACAUGCGCAAUAGCAUUCCAACGUGUUUGUUAUUGUUUAUGUCUUGAAAUAGUGUUUCUUUAUAAAGUGACCUCACCAACUACUGGCCUGGCAUGCAUUAUACAGCGUUUUUAGUCGUUUUCGCAGAUCCGUGUGAAAGGGGAUCAUUUUGACAAUUAUGUCACCUGUACGCGGAAAAUGCAAAGGAAAAACUUUUCCAUGUUUAGUACAGUAAUGUCAUGUAAAUGUACCCUCUGUCAAGCUUUGAUGUAUCCUUUUACCUGCCUGUUAUUCCCAGGAAGAUAAGUGACCAUGUUUCUUAGAGAUUUUGUGAUAUACAGUAUUGAACUGAUGUUACCUGAACCUUUUGUUUCAUGAUGAUCUGAGAGUGGAUUUCCAAUAUAUGUUUGUGAAUUAGUCCUGUGAAAAGAAAAAAUAGAUUUGUUAAGUUGAUAAAGGAAUAUUCAGCACUUACCUGCAUUAUUCACCUGCAUCUCCAGCACGUUCUGUGUUUGCUAAACCUGCAUACUUAUCUGUAAACUUACCCUGUGAUACUUGCCUCAUCUACGCCACAGUUCUGCAAUAAACUCCUGCAGCUGGGUUCAUCUUCAUA